rfam:Serratia sp. DD3 SRDD_contig000020, whole genome shotgun sequence.
GAGAAGCUGACUGCUAUGAUCCGUUUUCACCGUCUACUAAGCCUACUACUAAACGCAUUUUCUUUGCGCGGUAUGCUGGUGGACGAGGUUCAAAGCUAACUCAGUCCAACCACUGUAGAAACCCGCGCUAAUGCGCGGGUUUUUUU